GGAUAUUGGGCGUAAGGGCUCGCAGGCGGUUUCUUAAGUCUGAUGUGAAAGCCCCCGGCUCAACCGGGGAGGGUCAUUGGAAACUGGGGAACUUGAGUGCAGAAGAGGAGAGUGGAAUUCCACGUGUAGCGGUGAAAUGCGUAGAGAUGUGGAGGAACACCAGUGGCGAAGGCGACUCUCUGGUCUGUAACUGACGCUGAGGAGCGAAAGCGUGGGGAGCGAACAGGAUUAGAUACCCUGGUAGUCCACGCCGUAAACGAUGAGUGCUAAGUGUUAGGGGGUUUCCGCCCCUUAGUGCUGCAGCUAACGCAUUAAGCACUCCGCCUGGGGAGUACGGUCGCAAGACUGAAACUCAAAGGAAUUGACGGGGGCCCGCACAAGCGGUGGAGCAUGUGGUUUAAUUCGAAGCAACGCGAAGAACCUUACCAGGUCUUGACAUCCUCUGACAAUCCUAGAGAUAGGACGUCCCCUUCGGGGGCAGAGUGACAGGUGGUGCAUGGUUGUCGUCAGCUCGUGUCGUGAGAUGUUGGGUUAAGUCCCGCAACGAGCGCAACCCUUGAUCUUAGUUGCCAGCAUUCAGUUGGGCACUCUAAGGUGACUGCCGGUGACAAACCGGAGGAAGGUGGGGAUGACGUCAAAUCAUCAUGCCCCUUAUGACCUGGGCUACACACGUGCUACAAUGGACAGAACAAAGGGCAGCGAAACCGCGAGGUUCAGCCAAUCCCACAAAUCUGUUCUCAGUUCGGAUCGCAGUCUGCAACUCGACUGCGUGAAGCUGGAAUCGC
rnacentral:rRNA from 1 species